GGUGCUGUGGGGUAACGGUUAACCUUAGGCUGCGAAAUCUUGAAAUUCUGCUAAGCAAUUAUUGUAGCCUGGCUGCGAGUUCGAAUCUCGUCAGUGCCG